rnacentral:tRNA from 1 species
GUCUUCGUGGUGUAGUGGCCAGCACGCUCGACGCGUAACCGAAAGGUCCGUGGUUCGAUUCCCGGCGAAGGCU